rnacentral:rRNA from 1 species
UACGAAGGGGGCUAGCGUUGCUCGGAAUCACUGGGCGUAAAGGGUGCGUAGGCGGGUUAUUAAGUCAGAGGUGAAACCCUGGAGCUCAACUCCAGAACUGCCUUUGAUACUGAUAGUCUUGAGUAUGGGAGAGGUGAGUGGAACUGCGAGUGUAGAGGUGAAAUUCGUAGAUAUUCGCAAGAACACCAGUGGCGAAGGCGGCUCACUGGCCCAUUACUGACGCUGAGGCACGAAAGCGUGGGGAGCAAACAGG